UACAGAGGGUGCGAGCGUUGUCCGGAAUCACUGGGCGUAAAGGGCGCGUAGGCGGCCUGGUAAGUACGGGGUGAAAUCUCACGGCUCAACCGUGAGGCUGCCUCGUAGACUGCCGGGCUUGAGCAGAGCAGAGGCUAGCGGAAUUCCCGGUGUAGCGGUGGAAUGCGUAGAGAUCGGGAAGAACAUCGGUGGCGAAGGCGGCUAGCUGGGCUCUUGCUGACGCUGAGGCGCGACAGCGUGGGGAGCAAACAGG
rnacentral:rRNA from 1 species